GAUUUUUUUAUAUUUUUUUUUCUGUUGAUGAAGUAUAUUAAACAGCAUGAUUUAGGUCUUCAUCAAGUUGCUGAUACAGUUACAUUUGUUGCCAGGCUAUUAUCAUUUUGCAGAAAUAUUUUAGACCAAUGGAAUUUUAAUAUGAUUGAAAUGGACAGACAGCUGAAGGAAGCUGGUUGUCUUCAUUUUCAUUUUCUAAAAUUUUGUUUGUCUUUUGCUUUUUGAACAUGCAUAGAAUCCUAUAAGGAAUUGGGAAAAUACAGACCAAUCUUAGACUUCGUAGUGACAUUCUAUCUGGUUGUAAACAGGGGCACCUUCUGUGAUUUGAGGCUUCAUCUCAUCAUCAAUAAUGCCAGGUUUGUUCUUUUAAGUCACUAGAUAAAACCCAAGAUUUCUGCACCUAUAUUCACUCUACAACCGUCUUUACUGUCUGACUGCUGCACCCUUCGUGUAUUCCAGAUCAUAUAAAUGAUGGGCCACAUUCAAAUAUUGCAUCAAUUGCAAAAGUAGAUAUAACAUUUACAUACCAAUUCAUGCAUUAAUUUUGAAUUCUUUCCUCUCUAGCUUUUCUUAACAUACUGAUGAAGGCAUUGCCUUCUUUUUUUGUGAUUGGUUCAUAUUUAAAGAUCCUUCUGGUGUUGUUGUUACAACCCAGGCUGAAAAUGUAAAGGUUCUUCUUUUGUGGGUCACAGAUAUCUGAUGUGGUUGAUGAGGAAGUCUGCAAGCUGGAUGAAAAGUUCAAGGAAGGGAGUCAUGUUCGAGUUCGUGUUCUUGGUUUUAGGCAUCUAUAAGGAUUGACAAUGGAUGUUUUAAAGGUGACACUGGCACACUUCCUCUUCUCUGCCAUUAUUAUAUUAUGUCAAGCUCACCAAAGAUCGACAGAAGAAACCAGUCCCUUAGAAACAAUGGCAAUCAUUG